rnacentral:rRNA from 1 species
GCUAAGUUCGUGCAGGCGGCCGCGGGAAUACGGAGGGGGGUAGCGUUGGCCGGAAGUACUGGGCGUAAAGCGCACGUAGGCGGAUUGUUAAGUCGGGGGUGAAAUCCUGGAGCUCAACUCCAGAACUGCCUUCGAUACUGGCGAUCUCGAGUUCGGGAGAGGUGAGUGGAACUGCGAGUGUAGAGGUGAAAUUCGUAGAUAUUCGCAAGAACACCAGUGGCGAAGGCGGCUCACUGGCCCGAUACUGACGCUGAGGUGCGAAAGCGUGGGGAGCAAACAGGAUUAGAUACCCGGGUAGUC